rnacentral:rRNA from 1 species
CGGAGGGUGCGAGCGUUGUCCGGAAUCACUGGGCGUGAAGGGCGCGUAGGCGGCGCGAGGAGUCAACGGUGAAAGCUCGGGGCUCAACCCCGAGUCGGCCGUCGAUACUCUCGUGCUGGAGCACUGUAGAGGCAGGUGGAAUUCCGGGUGUAGCGGUGGAAUGCGUAGAGAUCCGGAAGAACACCGGUGGCGAAGGCGGCCUGCUGGGCAGUAGCUGACGCUGAGGCGCGACAGCGUGGGGAGCAAACAGGAUUAGAUACCCUGGUAGUCCACGCCGUAAACGAUGGGCACUAGGUGCUUGGGGGAGCGACCCUCUGAGUGCCGGCGCUAACGCAUUAAGUGCCCCGCCUGGGGAGUACGGCCGCAAGGCUG